GUUUUUAUAGUUUAAAUCAUCCUAAAACUUUGGUCUUGUAAACCAAUAAUGAAUAAUUUUCUAAAAACU
rnacentral:tRNA from 3 species